rnacentral:rRNA from 1 species
AACGAACGCUGGCGGCAGGCUUAACACAUGCAAGUCGAGCGGAGAGAGGUAGCUUGCUACUGAUCUUAGCGGCGGACGGGUGAGUAAUGCUUAGGAAUCUGCCUAUUAGUGGGGGACAACAUUUCGAAAGGAAUGCUAAUACCGCAUACGUCCUACGGGAGAAAGCAGGGGAUCUUCGGACCUUGCGCUAAUAGAUGAGCCUAAGUCGGAUUAGCUAGUUGGUGGGGUAAAGGCCUACCAAGGCGACGAUCUGUAGCGGGUCUGAGAGGAUGAUCCGCCACACUGGGACUGAGACACGGCCCAGACUCCUACGGGAGGGAGCAGUGGGGAAUAUUGGACAAUGGGCGGAAGCCUGAUCCAGCCAUGCCGCGUGUGUGAAGAAGGCCUUUUGGUUGUAAAGCACUUUAAGCGAGGAGGAGGCUCUUAAGGUUAAUACCCUAGAUGCUUGGACGUUACUCGCAGAAUAAGCACCGGCUAACUCUGUGCCAGCCGCCGCCGUAAGAC